rnacentral:rRNA from 1 species
UCYGGUUGAUCCUGCCRGACCCGACUGCUAUCAGAGUAGGACUAAGCCAUGCGAGUCAACGCCGCAAGGCGUGGCAUACGGCUCAGUAACACGUAGUCAACAUGCCCAAAGGACGUGGAUAACCUCGGGAAACUGAGGAUAAACCGCGGUAGGCCAAGGUUUCUGGAAUGAGCCCUGGCCGAAAUCUAUAUGGCCUUUGGAUUGGACUGCGGCCGAUCAGGCUGUUGGUGAGGUAAUGGCCCACCAAACCUGUAACCGGUACGGGCUUUGAGAGAAGGAGCCCGGAGAUGGGCACUGAGACAAGGGCCCAGGCCCUAUGGGGCGCAGCAGGCGCGAAACCUCUGCAAUAGGCGAAAGCCUGACAGGGUUACUCUGAGUGAUGCCCGCUAAGGGUAUCUUUUGGCACCUCUAAAAAUGGUGCAGAAUAAGGGGUGGGCAAGUCUGGUGUCAGCCGCCGCGGUAAUACCAGCACCCCGAGUUGUCGGGACGACUAUUGGGCCUAAAGCAUCCGUAGCCUGUUCUGCAAGUCCUCCGUUAAAUCCACCUGCUCAACGGAUGGGCUGCGGAGGAUACCGCAGAGCUAGGAGGCGGGAGAGGCAAACGGUACUCAGUGGGUAGGGGUAAAAUCCAUUGAUCUACUGAAGACCACCAGUGGCGAAGGCGGUUUGCCAGAACGCGCUCGACGGUGAGGGACGAAAGCUGGGGGAGCAAACCGGAUUAGAUACCCGGGUAGUCCCAGCUGUAAACGAUGCAGACUCGGUGAUGGGUUGGCUUUGCGCCAACCCAGUGCCGCAGGGAAGCCGUUAAGUCUGCCGCCUGGGUAGUACGGUCGCAAGACUGAAACUUAAAGGAAUUGGCGGGGGAGCACCACAAGGGGUGAAGCCUGCGGUUCAAUUGGABUCAACGCCGGR